UACGAAGGGGGCUAGCGUUGCUCGGAUUGACUGGGCGUAAAGGGCGCGUAGGCGGCUUGUCCAGUCAGACGUGAAAUUCCUGGGCUCAACCUGGGGGCUGCGUUUGAUACGUAUGGGCUUGAGUUCGGAAGAGGGUCGUGGAAUUCCCAGUGUAGAGGUGAAAUUCGUAGAUAUUGGGAAGAACACCGGUGGCGAAGGCGGCGACCUGGUCCGAUACUGACGCUGAGGCGCGAAAGCGUGGGGAGCAAACAGG
rnacentral:rRNA from 1 species